rnacentral:misc_RNA from 1 species
CAACGGUAAUACACACGCACACACAAACCGACAAAACCCUUAACAUAAACAAACGGCCGCGCCCGUAACGAACACGGGGAAGUCUUCUGUUGCGCGCACGCUUGCUGUGCGUGUGUGUGCUUGCCGGCUUUCGUUUCGCUUGCUUGCUGUGCCUGCGCGCGCCAAGCACGUGUGCCUCUCGGCCGAAAAAAAAAGAGGGGGCCUUACCAGCAACUGAAGAAGGGGAGCGCAGACGUAGACGCGGCCAGACAAACCGCGCCCGUACUCAACCAUACAACUAGCGCCGUUAUCGUGCUGCUCUUCUUGUACGCACAGGCGCACGCACGGGAACGGUCUUCGUGAUGGACGGCCGACUUGUGCAGACGUCGUGCCGGACGACGCACUUUUCGGCGGUGGAGGCGACGCUGCGGGAUUGGCCCGAGGUCGAGGCGGUUGGCUCCUUCCGCGAGAAGAAGAACAACAAGAGGGACAUCACGACAGUGUUCGUCACCUUCCGCGACGAGGCGGCGGCGAAGGCGGCCAGGGCGAAGCUCGAUGCCAUUCCCGGUAUCGCUGAGGCGGCCACUGCCUUGUCUACCUCUCCGGAGCAGGAGAAGGGGACGACCAGCGGCAGUCGAAGCAAGCGCUCGCAGACGAAGAAAGGCAACGCCGGUAGUGACAAGAAGAGCCUCGCUGCGGAGUUCUUGAACUUCGAGUCGUAUGAGGAUCAGAAGCAGCGCAAGGCGCACACGAGGAGGAGCAACGGCGUGCCGGAGGUGACGGGUGCGGAGACGACGCGUAGAGGCCGCGGUGGGCGUGGAAUGGGCCGCGGCAAUAACAACAACAGCCGCGGUGCUGGUGGCAGCCACCGUGGCAUGCGUGGUCGCGGUGGCGCUCAUCUGCAGCCGCCGCAGAACUUUCAGCAGCCGCAGCAGUACCAGCAGCACCAGCUUCACCCGCCGCCGCCACCGCCGCCACCGCCGCCACCGCCGCCGCGCCUACCGCCGUUCGAGGCGAACGUUGCCUUCAUUGACAACGUGCCAUUCGGCACCACGAAUAGAUACCUCAUGGAGCACUUCUCCGCCUUCGGCCGCAUUCUCGAUGUGAACCGUCUCGAGCUGAUGGUCAUGAUCUGCUUUGACAACCCGGAGUCGGUGCAGCAGUGCAUCCAGCACAUGAACGGCACCAAGAUCCACGACAACGUCAUCACGGUGAGCAGCGGCACCGUCCGCAUCCCCGGCAGCGUAGCAAUCCAGAUGGGUGUUUAAGGCGGCAAGUGGAGCAGGAGGAGGAACGACGGGACGGAAGGACGCGCGGACGCGUGAGAGCAUCCGCAUUCUGCGUUGAUGGAGUAAGGGAGGGACGACAGAAGGGGAACGGAUCAGCCGCCACCGUGCUAACAUCGCGCAUGUCGCAGCUGCCAUGGAUCAGCGCGAGCGACUCUUGGCAUACCUCACACCCCUUCCUCCUUCAUAUGUCCUCCUCCCCGCACACCGUUAAAAGCCUUCACACACAAUACACAUGCAUACACCGACAGACCGACAGACACCUGCUAAUGGCCACCACCGCCUGCUCUCCUGCGCUGAUACGGCGCUUUUCGUGACGUUUGUGUGUGCACGCGUGUGUGUGCGUACUUCCCUGCGGAUGCCGAAAAAGGAAAGGAUGGAGGGGGAGGAGGAGGAGGAGGGGAAGGGGUGGGCGGGCAUGGGCAGAGAGGCACAACUUAUUCACCUUUUCCGUGUUGACCCAUGCGCCUCUCCCUCUGUGUUUGUGAUCUGCCCCUCGUCGUCCCUCCACGCCCUACCGAAGGUCGGAGGCGUCCGUCUCUCCGCCUGUCCUUCGCCAUCGCUCACCCCUCGCUUGUGUGCGAGUGUAUGUGUGCCCGUUGUCCAAAACAACGCACAGAUAAAAGAAGCGUAUAAGUGGGCACUGACUAACAUAAGAAGAACCAACGAG